UCCGGAAUUAUUGGGCGUAAAGAGCUCGUAGGCGGUUUGUCGCGUCUGCUGUGAAAUCCCGAGGCUCAACCUCGGGCUUGCAGUGGGUACGGGCAGACUAGAGUGCGGUAGGGGAGAUUGGAAUUCCUGGUGUAGCGGUGGAAUGCGCAGAUAUCAGGAGGAACACCGAUGGCGAAGGCAGAUCUCUGGGCCGUAACUGACGCUGAGGAGCGAAAGCAUGGGGAGCGAACAGGAUUAGAUACCCUGGUAGUCCAUGCCGUAAACGUUGGGCGCUAGAUGUAGGGACCUUUCCACGGUUUCUGUGUCGUAGCUAACGCAUUAAGCGCCCCGCCUGGGGAGUACGGCCGCAAGGCUAAAACUCAAAGGAAUUGACGG
rnacentral:rRNA from 1 species